UCUGACCACUCAAUGUAUCCUCAGUGAGUAUCUGAAGAGUCUCAACUCAGUUAAAUACAGCAUCAAAGUAGUCAUUUCCAGCUUCUGAAUGCUGUGAUUGUAAGAUAUCAUAGAGCUGAGUGCUAUAGGUAAUACUAGAUUUUAAGAUAAAUUUGUUAAAACUGGCUUUAUUAAAACUUCUAGCAGCUGGCAAAGGCAACUAACUGCUCAAGGGCCUCCUAUGACAGUGCCCCUGAGUAUUCAAAGUGGACUCAGUCAGCCCUGAGUUCCAUUCUUGGUCUUGAUACUUACCAGUUUCUGUAUCACUUUGAACAACUUGCAUCAUCUGAGUCUUGGUUUAACUAUUGGAAAUAAGUGGGGACAAUACCCACCUUGCAGAGUGUAGGACAGAUUAGAUGAAACAAUGCACAUAAAGCGCCUAGGACAGAGUAGGCAGCCACAGUAGCGAAAGAGCACCAUGCCUCCCAUUGUUCUGCCACCUAGACUAUUUGAGAAUCACCUAUGCUAUUUAUUCCAUGAUCUCCUACCAUGCCUCAUUGCAGGUGGAAGUAAGAAUUCACUUGGAAAAAAAGCAGCUCUCCAGAAAGCAAAGGCAACUGCUUAAGGAAGAAGAGAGCGAUCCUAGGAGGCAAGAUUCCUGCAGCUCCUAUCAUUCCUUUGACAAAGCAAAGCAAAUUCCAUCUUUGGAGGCAGAGGCAUUAAAUUAUUGCUCUCUCAAAAAUGAGCUAGCAAGAACAUAAUCUAGACACAAUUCAUUGUAAUUUCCAACCCCAAAUUAUUCAAAUAUGGGCUAGGAAAUAGCCCAACGUGGAAGGAAUGCUGAAGGUUGCCCACGUGGUCACCAGGAAGCCUCUCGCUGACAGUGCAGCACAUCCACAGGAUGACAAGUCUCUGUCUA
rnacentral:lncRNA from 1 species